rnacentral:miRNA from 14 species
UGUGUGUGUGUGUGUGUGUGUGUGUGUGUGUUAUGUAUAUAUUAUGUGUAUAUAUACACACACACAUAAACACACAUGUAAGCACAUAC